rnacentral:rRNA from 1 species
AACGAACGCUGGCGGCGCGCCUAACACAUGCAAGUCGAACGAGAAGGCGUAGCAAUACGCUUGUAGAGUGGCGAACGGGUGAGUAAUACGUGGGUGACCUACCCUCGAGUGGGGAAUAACCCGCCGAAAGGCGGGCUAAUGCCGCGUACGCUUCCGUCCUCACGGGGACGGAAGGAAAGCUGUACCGUGGGUACGGCGCUCAAGGAUGGGCUCACGUCCUAUCAGCUUGUUGGUAGGGUAACGGCCACCAAGGCUACGACGGGUAGCUGGUCUGAGGGGACGAUCAGCCACACUGGCACUGCGACACGGGCCAGACUCCUACGGGAGGCAGCAGUGAGGAAUAUUGCGCAAUGGGCGAAAGCCUGACGCAGCGACGCCGCGUGGGGAUGAAGGUCUUCGGAUUGUAGACCCCUUUCGGGAGGGAAGAUGGGACGGGCAACCGUUCGGACGGUACCUCCAGAAGCAGCCACGGCUAACUUCGUGCCAGCA